ACUACAUUGCAAGAUGCAAGACUAUUGUGUACCAAUAUUAGCCAGGUGGAGUCUGGGAGAGGUGUCCAGAGUGUCAUCGGAGAGCGGUGGAACAUAAUAAAAUCUUCAAGCUGCAUAUGACACCAGGAUAACUUUACAUCUGAUCUUUCAAAGGAGUAUUUCAGAAGUGAUUACCCUUGGGUCCAACUCUGAUCAGCUUUCUACUCUACGAUGGAAUUGAAAAGUUAAAUAUAUACUGAUCGAUAUAUUAAACAAAUGCAAGUUAAAAUUUGA